rnacentral:rRNA from 1 species
UCGGGAAUUUUGGGCAAUGGGCGAAAGCCUGACCCAGCAACGCCGCGUGAAGGAUGAAGUAUUUCGGUAUGUAGACUUCGAAAGAAUAGGAAGAAUAAAUGACGGUACUAUUUAUAAGGUCCGGCUAACUACGUGCCAGCAGCCGCGGUAAUACGUAGGGACCAAGCGUUGUUCGGAUUUACUGGGCGUAAAGGGCGCGUAGGCGGCAAUUCAAGUCAUCUGUGAAAUCUCCGGGCUUAACUCGGAACGGUCAGAUGAUACUGCUUUGCUAGAGUGCAGAAGGGGCAAUCGGAAUUCUUGGUGUAGCGGUGAAAUGCGUAGAUAUCAAGAGGAACACCUGAGGUGAAGACGGGUUGCUGGGCUGACACUGACGCUGAGGCGCGAAAGCCAGGGGAGCAAACGGGAUUAGAUACCCUUGUAGUCCCUGAGCGGGCUGGCAAGGCGCAU